AUUGAACGCUGGCGGCAGGCCUAACACAUGCAAGUCGAACGAGUGGCGGACGGGUGAGUAAUGUCUGGGAAACUGCCUGAUGGAGGGGGAUAACUACUGGAAACGGUAGCUAAUACCGCAUACCAUCAGAUGUGCCCAUAUGGGAUUAGCUUGUUGGUGGGGUAAAGGCUCACCAGGGCUACGAUCCCUAGCUGGUCUGAGAGGAUGACCAGCCACACUGGAACUGAUACACGGUUCAGACUCCUAAGUGAGGCAGCAGGUGGGAAUAUUGCACAAUGGGCGCAAGCCUAAUGCAGCCAUGCCGCGUGUAUGAAGAAGGCCUUCGGGUUGUAAAGUACUUUCAGCGGGGAGGCGUUACCCGCAGAAGAAGCACCGGCUAACUCCGUGCCAGCAGCCGCGGUAAUAC
rnacentral:rRNA from 1 species